UACGAAGGGUGCGAGCGUUGUUCGGAAUUACUGGGCGUAAAGGGUUCGUAGGCGGGUGUGUAAGUUGAGUGUGAAAACCCUGGGCUUAACCUGGGACGUGCAUUCAAGACUGCAUAUCUUGAGUUCUGGAGAGGGUGGUGGAAUUGCUGGUGUAGGAGUGACAUCCGUAGAGAUCAGCAGGAACGCCGGAGGCGAAAGCGACCGCCUGGCCAGACACUGACGCUGAGGAACGAAAGCGUGGGGAGCAAACAGG
rnacentral:rRNA from 1 species